AUGUGAUCCACCAGCAAGGAGGGACGCCAAUAAGGCAUCCAAUAAGAUAAGUCUUAUAAAAUAUAUAGAUUUAUGAUAGUUAAGACUGAGCUAGCAAAUGAGAAGUCCUAGUCAUUGGCCAAGCAGCAUUGUACCUAAUACAAGUUUCUGUGUAUUCAUUUGGGCCUAACUCGGGCAGGCGGCUGGCUUAAAGCUCACACGUGGUGGUGGAGCUCAGGCGCUUUUGGCAGAAAGAUUUAUUGUAACAUGGGAAAGGUGGGCAGAGAGAGGUGCCGAAAAGAGAUGCCAUGUAGCAAGGAAAAAGUAAUAGGUCCAGAUCCUUCUCCAGUAAGAUAGACCAUGUGGAAAUACAUAGAUUAAUAGAAAUGGGUUAAUAAUUAAGUCAAAGCUAGCCAGUAAGAAGUCCUAGCCAUUGGCCAACAGUUUUCUAACUAAUAUAUGUGUUUAUGUGGGGUUGAGAAGGGUGGCAGGACCUGGCAGGACAAGAAAAACUCCAGUUACAUUCUAGGAAUAAAAUUAUUCUGGGAAAUCUUAUAAUACUACACUUAAUCUCUCUCAUAUUGGGCUCACCAGCUGCUGAAGCAACAGUUUAAAAUUAAUAUCUUUAAAACUGGGCCUCAUUGAAGUUAAGAAUAGAAAACCAGAGGGUAUUUAAGAAUAGAAAAAUAUUGAGGGGAGUUUAAGGGUAAAUUUAGCUCACUGAAUUUGUCUUGUCCCGUCCCCUUGAAGGAAAAAAAAAAGGCCUCACAAUAUUAUUAAAUGAAGUAAACAUCAAAACUAUGCAAGAAAAACACCUUUCUGAAGGACACAGCCUGCCCUGGAGUGGAGCAGAACCCACCAUAAUGACUGUCCUUCCAUUCACUCCUCCAUGGUGACACUUACACAGUUGUUUGUUAGUCACUUUAUUCUAAGCAGCAGCAGUGAUUUUGUUGUUGGAGAUACAAGCUGCAGCAGGAUGCAGAAGCUGAGCUAUUAUGGGUGCUCUAGAAGAUGAGUUGUUCAUCAUCUCUGAGUCAGAAGCUUACACUGGUCCAACUGAGAAACUGAAAGGAGCCAAGGUUCCUAUCUCCACAGACACAUAUAGUCUCAGGCUUCACACAUUCACGGCCCUGGCCACGCCUAUUAAGAAAUGAUCCAGUAAGGUUGGAAAGAUGGCUCGGUGAUUAAGGACACUUGUUGCUCUUCCAGAGCACUUGGGUUCAGUUCCCACCUGACAGUUCACAACUAUCUGUAAUUCCAGUUUCCGGAGAUCUGACACACUCACACAGAAUACCAAUGCCCAUAAAACAAAAAUAAAUCCAGAA
rnacentral:lncRNA from 1 species